AGGGCGCAAGAGUCAUGAAAGAGAGGAAGAGUGAUGAAGCUAGUAGCUAUGCUAUCCGCCCUGGGAAACAUGUCUAUGGGGAAAGUAGGUGGAGAGAGGGCCAAUUGAUGAUGAUAAAAAGGGAGCUAGAGGAGGCCCGAAGGUGCAUGAAGCUUGGGGCAAACCAUGCUAGUAUGAAAGAACCCAAGAAGGAGCUUUCCCAUGAUCAAAAGCUUGAAGACCGAAGAGGAGAUAUGGAGGUGAGAAAG
rnacentral:lncRNA from 1 species